rnacentral:rRNA from 1 species
GUUUUAACGGGUAACGGGGAAUUAGGGUUCGAUUCCGGAGAGGGAGCCUGAGAAACGGCUACCACAUCCAAGGAAGGCAGCAGGCGCGCAAAUUACCCAAUCCCGACACGGGGAGGUAGUGACAAUAAAUAACAAUACAGGGCUCUUACGGGUCUUGUAAUUGGAAUGAGUACAAUUUAAAUCUCUUAACGAGGAACAAUUGGAGGGCAAGUCUGGUGCCAGCAGCCGCGGUAAUUCCAGCUCCAAUAGCGUAUAUUAAAGUUGUUGCAGUUAAAAAGCUCGUAGUUGAAUUUCGGGGUUCUUCCGUUGGUCAGGCUAACAAGUCUGUACUAGCGUGUAGAAUCUCUACCUUCUGGGGGACCAUCAUGUUAUUAAUUUAGCGUGGUGGGAAACCAGGACCUUUACCUUGAAAAAAUUAGAGUGUUCAAAGCAGGCUUACGUCUGAAUACAUUAGCAUGGAAUAAUAAAAUAGGACGGUGGUCCUGUUUUGUUGGUUUCUGAAUCACCGUAAUGAUUAAUAGGGAUAGUUGGGGGCAUUAGUAUUCAAUUGUCAGAGGUGAAAUUCUUGGAUUUAUUGAAGACUAACUUCUGCGAAAGCAUUUGCCAAGGAUGUUUUCAUUAAUCAAGAACGAAAGUUAGGGGAUCGAAGACGAUCAGAUACCGUCGUAGUCUUAACCAUAAACUAUGCCGACUAGGGAUCGGACGAUGUUAAAUUUUAUUGACUCGUUCGGCGCC